GUGGACUUCAGUGAUUCCAUCCACCCGAAGCUUUGGAUAAAGGACAGGAAGGAAGGGUGGCCACAGGGCCUUUGCAUCCGCCAGGGCUGCAGAUCUCCCAAGCAACCUGCGGGGCAUCACCAGCCACGGCCCCAGCUACGGCCUCAUCCAGGGCCACGGCCGGCAUGCCCAUCACCUGGGUCCUCGCGGUGACCGUGCUCACCUGCUCUUCUCCUUGGCCUCCGAGGCUGAGUCCCUCAUGGUAACAGAUACUGAGAGCUGACAGCCUGGUGUGAGGGUGGGGAAAGGUGGAUUCUCAGCCCAACCCCUGCCCCCUCACUGAACUUUCUCAUCAUGGGAAUGAGACAAGGUGACUAAGACCUCAUAUCACUUGAGAGCUGCUUGGCCAAGCUCAGCCCUGGAUUCUGAUAUCUCUUCACUGGAAGAGAGCUGGGAAGGCCUUGAAGACUCAACUAAAUGGCUGGAGUACAGGGCUGCCUUCUCACCGAAACUGCCUCGGGUCGCAGCAGGUAAGGCACAAAGCCAACAGUAAAAACUGUGUAGGGCGAGAUGAUGAGGAAGCCAGUUCUCCAUGGAACAAUGUGAAUUCUGGCUCAGUAUGUUGCAUGCACCGUGCAGCCAGCCUCCUGCAGACCCCAGAUCCUGAGUCACUCUGUGACCCCUCCCUGGAGCAGAGGUCACUCUGGAGACAGGUGGGGCUGAGCUGCUGUUGAUGCUCACAGCUGAGCUGGACCAGGGAUGGACGGAGUCUGGUAAGGGACUGUCACACUGAGAGCUCUGUGUGCUGCUAGCUAAGAGACUGGGAGAGGAGGAAAUGAAGGAUGUUUGCCUGCAGCCCUCCCCAAGGCUACAGGUGUCAGGAUGCAGGCCCUUCUCUUCCAUCAGAGCUCCCACCAGGUCCUUUAGGCCCUCCCAUCAGAAGGAGAAUCAGGACCUGAGUAAAGGGAGCAGAUUGAUUCAUUACUCACUCUAGUCCUGAUCUUACAUGGUUGGUACUAGAGACUGGGGCUGACUGUGAUUAGGUAAAGGGAGGAAGAGAUUGGGACAAGCUGGUGGACCCAGGGAGGGGGUGAUGGAUGGGGGGAAAUACAUGACACUCAGCGAGGGUGGGGCUCAAGAUGGGGAGUGACUGGGGAGCUGACCCAGGAGACCUGACCCAGGACUUCCUCAGCCACUUGGACCAACACUGUUUCUUUUCUGAAGGCAGAUGAUGCUCCCAAGGAGGCCCUGAGAGUGUGGUCAGUUACAUGACUCUGCCUUAUGGUUGACUGCCUUUGGAUCCUGUGCUGUUCAUUUCUAGACCAGAAGGAGUUCAGAUCUUACAAAUCCAGAGGGCACCAUCAGAUCACCAUGAGACUGCUGAUGCAACAUCUCAGGUCCCUCAUUGCAUUUGGCGAUUCUCCUAUUCAGAGCCUUUGUUUAACAUAUUGUGAUUGGGCUGGAGCCAGCGGGAUCUGAACAAAUUCCCCUUCUAAAUAUUGACUCUGUGACAUUUGAGCCCCUGCCAGCUGGGAUGGCACCAAGGCUGUUAAUAUCUGUGAAGAGGGAGAGUGAUAAGAAGUUCUAGGGGAUCAUAAACCAGAGUGAAUUUCUCACUAAAGGACCCACUAUUUUAAAAUAUUAUUUAUUUAUUCAUUCAUGCAUCCAUUCACUCAUUUACUCUUGGGUUUCACAGCACUCCCUGUGCCAGACUGUGCCAGGUGACAGGGACAAGGAGUCAUCUAUGCACAGAUCCUGCUCUCAUGGCGCUCUCAAUCAAUCUCAGGGGACAGAGUGGACUGGGUGUGAGUUUCCAGCAUCCAGCAGCCAGAAUCAGGAGGAAGCCCGAAGCCAAGGAACAAAGUAAAGCUUAGCCGUGGAGGCGAAGUGAUGCGUCACCAAGCACAGAUCACCAGACGGAACAGCAGCCGAGUAGGUACACUAGCCUGAAGUCGGAAUGGCUCAGGGUAAACCCACUUCCGUCCGUUGUCAAAGUGCCUGCAAGUACUGGAUUCUAGUUGUUUGGGCUCCGUCUCUGUUUAUUUUUUUUUAAUUGUUGUAAAAUACACAAAAUUUACCAUCUAAAUCAUUUUUGUGUACCGUUCAGUGGUAUUAAAUACACUCACAUUGUUGUGUGACCACCACCACCAUCCAUCCCCAUAACUUUUUAUCUUGUGACACUGAAAUUCUACACCUAUUCAACAAUAACUCCCCAUUCACCUCUCCCUCCUGCCCCUGGCAACCACCCUUAUACUCUGUCUUUAUGAUUUUGACUGCUCUAAAGUUCCUCGUAUAAGUGGA